UACAGAGGUCUCAAGCGUUGUUCGGAUUCAUUGGGCGUAAAGGGUGCGUAGGUGGCGCGCUAAGUCGGGUGUGAAAUCCCGGGGCUUAACCUCGGGACUGCAUUCGAUACUGGCGUGCUUGAGGACUGGAGAGGAGACUGGAAUUUACGGUGUAGCGGUGAAAUGCGUAGAUAUCGUAAGGAAGACCAGUGGCGAAGGCGGGUCUCUGGACAGUUCCUGACGCUGAGGCACGAAGGUCAGGGGAGCAAACGGG
rnacentral:rRNA from 1 species